ACUUAACAGUGUUGAACCUUAAUCUGCCCGUCAUCUACCAUAUUAUAUAUAAAUCAGUCAGUAGCCACGUUUCCUCACUUUCUCCUUUUUUGGGGGGAUGUUGUUCUGAGAAUGGGGUCUUACUCUAUAGCUCAGGUUAGCCUGGAACACUUAGUCACCUUUCCACCAGCGCUUCCCAAGGGCUACAAUUGCAAGGGAGAGCCACCCUGCCUGAUCCACUCUCUUCUUUAUGAAAACAUUCAGUGUAGACUUCACUUUUUUCUUUAAUUAAAAAUAGAUUUUUCAUACAAUAUAUUCUGAUUAUGGUCUCCCCCCUCCCCAUUCCUCCUAGUUCCCACCUAUCCUCCCAUCCAGAUCCACACCCUUUCUGUUCUUGUUAGAAAUCAAACAGGCAUCUAAGGAAUAGUAGUAAAAUACAGUACGAUAAAUACAAAACAAGCAGAUUGGAAUAGGGCAAAACAAAAACAAGAAAAAGCACAAGAAACACAGAGACACAGAGACACACUGUUCACACACAGGAAUCUCAUAAAAACACAAAACUGGAAGCUAUAACGUAGAUGCAAAUGACCUGUAGGUUAAGAGAAACAAAAGCCCUGACUUGACAUUAUGAGACGAAGAAGCUCCACUGAUAGUGUUGAGUUCGUUUUGUGUUGGCCAUCUACUGCUGGUCAUGGUGCCUGCCCUGAAGCUUCCUAGUGAGACUCCCUUGGAGAAACCAGUUUUUCAUUGGCUCUCAAUUGAAGAUAGCCUCUGGGUUAGGGAUGGGGGUCUGUGUCCAUUCGCCUUUCAGUUCUGGGACCCCAUAUGGGGCAGAUGUGUGCAGGCCCUGUGCAUGCCACGGUGCAUGCAUCAAUCCUGUUGCGUCUGGAAGGCCUUGAUUCCCUGGUGUCUUCAUCCCUCCUGGCUCUCACACUCUUCUGCCUCCUCUUCUGCAGGGUUCCUCCAGCCCUGAGAGGAGGGAUUUGAUGGAGACAUCCCUUUAAGGGCUGAGUGUUCCAAGGUCUCUCACUCUCUGCAUAUUGUCUGGCUGUGGGUCUCUGUAUUAGUUCCUGUCUGCUGAGGGAGGAGGCUUCUCUGAUGGCUGAGCUGGAUCUAUGAGUAUAGCAGAAUGUUAUCAGGAGUCGUUCAUUUUUAUGUUCCUUGAGCAGAACAGCAGUAUUUGGUUUUCCCCUAGGUCCCUGGCUUGUCUAGUACCUAGUGGUUCUUGGCCACUCAAGCAGCACUGGGUAUGGGUUCCAUUUCAUGGAGUGGGCGGUCUUAGUUAGGGUUUCUGUUGCUGUAAAGAUACACCAUGCCGCAACUCUUAAAAGGAAAACAUUUAGUUGAGGUGGCAGCUUAUAGUUUCAGAGGUUUGGAACAUUAUCAUGGCAGGUGACAUGGCAGUGUGCAGGAAGACAUGCUUCUGGGGAAGAGCUGCUACACCUUGAUAUGCAGGCAUCAGGAAGUAGACUGCCUCACUGGGCGUGGCUUGAGCAUAUAUGAACCCUCAAAGCCCACCCCCACAGGGACACCCUUCCUCGACAAGACCACACCCACUCCGACACAGGCACACCUCCUAAUAGUGCCACUCCCUUUGGAGGCCAUUUUCUUUCCAACCACCCCAUGGGCCUUGACUGAAAUCAGAUAUUGUUAGAUAUUCCCACAAGCUUCGUGCUAGUACUUGGGGAUCACUGGAGAUGCUGCUCUGAAAUGUGUUCUUGCAGGCAGGGUCGCUCUUACAGAUGGAUGCGUGUGUAGGGGUUGGUGUUUCUCUUUUGGUCGUGUUCAGAGGGCCUUCCAGUCCCCUGAACACUAGUCAGCAGGGACGAAGGCUCUGGGUGGGCACCAGCUCGACUCCUCCAUGGUCCGUGAGUUGUGUAGGUGUUGACUUCAGCAAUGGGUAGGGCCUUGCCAUCGGUUUGGGGAGAGCCACCAAAAGCCUUGGCAACAACCAGAGCUGUUUGGGGGUUCCCAUGGGGCCCCUUUGGCCAAGAGCUCAGUUAGAUGUAACCCAGUCCUGGCACUGGAAGCUUCAUUUGGUGACAGAUGGCCAGUAGGAGCUCUGUUUCCUCUGUUACUUGGUGAUGUCAGUUAAAUUGCCUUCAUCUAUGGAUUUUCAUUUAUUAAGCUUCUACUGGAUUAGACCCUUCAAAAGCCCUUAGUUUUGGCUGUCUUUCCCCACAUCUCUCCCUCCCUUCCUCCCUCCCCUGACCCAUCCGUAACUAUCUCUUCCAUUACUGCUUCCUAGGGAGAUCCAUCUCCCCUCUAGUCCCUUACUCUGUACCUGAUCUCUGUAGUUGUAUGGAUUGUGGCUUGCUUAUCCAUGACUUAACAGCUAAUAUCCACAUAUAAGAAAAUACAUACCAUAUUUGUCUUUCUGGGUCUGAAUUGCCUCUCAGAGUAGACUAAAUAUCUUCAGACUCUAUGUUGUUGGUACUAAAAGCAUGAUAAUACAUUAAAUUAGGACAAAUUAGACCUAUACUGCCAAGUAAUAAAAUUUUAAAAAUUAUAAUCUUUAAUAUGAAGUAGUAUGUUAUGGUCACAUGAAUAGAAAGUCCCUAGUGGAAAGGAUAAUGUUCAUAUUAACAUUAUAGUAAUACAAUUUCACAUUAGAAAUGGAAGGCGCAAACUAAAAUUGGUAAAGAUAUUUAAUAAAUGUCAAAAAAGCAUUAUUGUCAUUUGCAGCUGUCUUGGAGGUAGGCUGAGGCAGCAAGGCAUGUGUGCUGUGGGGUUUGUAGAAAAAGGAUGAGCAAAGGAAAGACAAGGCCGUGAAAAUGAGCAAAACCUUAGAGCUGAACAUCAGGUUUGUGGCUUGAACUAACUUUUAAACUUUUUCAUGAAUAUUUCUGUUAUAUAAACUGGGAGAGAGAAAGUAGAGUGCAUACUGUCUACAAAUUACUUUAUUAGUAUUUCCUUGAAGAGUAUGAAACAUUCCAAAGGAAAAUAAGUAAAUGUGGGUGAGGACAAAUGCUCAAAAUCCUAGAAGUCCAAACCGAAGUUUGCUGUGCCUAAAAUACCAGCAGAUCUGUGUUCUGCUUCACCCAGUGCUGGUAGAGGUGCAGUGAGGUCACUUUCCACAGUGCUGGCAGUGGGGGAGUGCAGUGAGGUCACUUUCCACAGUGCUGGCAGUGGGGGAGUGCAGUGAGGUCACUUUCCACAUGCUGGCAGUGGGGGAGUGCAGUGAGGUCACUUUCCACAGUGCUUACAGUGGGGGAGUGCAGUGAGGUCACUUUCCACAUGCUGACAGUGGGAGAGUACAGUGAGGUCACUUUCCACAUGCUGGCAGUGGGGGAGUACAGUGAGGUCACUUUCCACAUGCUGACAGUGGGGGAGUACAGUGAGGUCACUUUCCACAUGCUGACAGUGGGGGAGUGCAGUGAGGUCACUUUCCACAUGCUGACAGUGGGGUACACGAGGUUCAACUGCUCGUGUGUGAGCAGUUCCGAGAGGUUAUUAACAUUCUGAUCAACAACCGCAAAGUGUUGGUAUGUUUGACUCAGGACCCUACUCCCUGGAAUUCAUCCCAGGAAACAAAACUCAAGAGUGGAAAGCAUGCAUCACCCUGGUGUGGCGUGCGUCACCCUGGUGUGGCGUGCGUUGUAGUUUGUAACUCCUAAGUAUGACCACCGAAGGAUCCCUGAACACGCUUCCCCAAAAGCAUUCUUGGAAAUUCUGACCUGCUGUGUGCGGGGCCACUCAGAUCCUUUGGCCUGAGCCGUCUCGGGGAACUCUGGUCACACAUGUCCUUAUGUCCCUUCAGACCUCCCAGUCACUAGUGAAUGUCGUGUUUCUAACCAGUAAAGACUAGUACACAGCUGAUACAGCCUUGCUUCAGAAAUAGAGGGACGUAUGUACAAUUGUGUUGUUGUUAAUUACAGCUAGGCUGCACAUAGGCAUUGGAUGGAGUCACAGGGAAGAAGAGCAGGGCAUCUGUGUUAAUAAGGGAUUGUUCCUUCCCUACUCUUAAAAGGAAAACUUGGAUUUGUUUUGAAUUU